rnacentral:rRNA from 1 species
GAUGAACGCUGGCGGCGUGCCUAAUACAUGCAAGUCGAGCGAAUGGAUUAAGAGCUUGCUCUUAUGAAGUUAGCGGCGGACGGGUGAGUAACACGUGGGUAACCUGCCCAUAAGACUGGGGUAACUCCGGGAAACCGGGGCUAAUACCGGAUAACAUUUUGAACCGCAUGGUUCGAAAUUGAAAGGCGGCUUCGGCUGUCACUUAUGGAUGGACCCGCGUCGCAUUAGCUAGUUGGUGAGGUAACGGCUCACCAAGGCAACGAUGCGUAGCCGACCUGAGAGGGUGAUCGGCCACACUGGGACUGAGACACGGCCCAGACUCCUACGGGAGGCAGCAGUAGGGAAUCUUCCGCAAUGGACGAAAGUCUGACGGAGCAACGCCGCGUGAGUGAUGAAGGCUUUCGGGUCGUAAAACUCUGUUGUUAGGGAAGAACAAGUGCUAGUUGAAUAAGCUGGCACCUUGACGGUACCUAACCAGAAAGCCACGGCUAACUACGUGCCAGCAGCCGCCGUAA